CCUACGGGGGGCAGCAGUGGGGAAUAUUGCACAAUGGGGGAAACCCUGAUGCAGCGACGCCGCGUGAGUGAAGAAGUAUUUCGGUAUGUAAAGCUCUAUCAGCAGGGAAGAUAAUGACGGUACCUGACUAAGAAGCUCCGGCUAAAUACGUGCCAGCAGCCGCGGUAAUACGUAUGGAGCAAGCGUUAUCCGGAUUUACUGGGUGUAAAGGGAGCGUAGACGGCAGUGCAAGUCUGAAGUGAAAGGCGGGGGCCCAACCCCCGGACUGCUUUGGAAACUGGGCUGCUGGAGUGCAGGAGAGGCAA
rnacentral:rRNA from 1 species